ensembl:lncRNA
CUUAAACUCUGUGUAGCCUGAUAAAAUUGGGCCCAGAUCUCAGACACGCCCUGGAUGUGAAUUAUCUCUUUGUCCGUGAAGUCUUGCUCUUUAGUCACAUAGUAGCCGUCUUGGUUAUCAGUCCAACAGUCAGGUAUCACAGUGCUUGUGUUCAAGGAACUCUUACUUUAGUUAAUAAUGACCCCAAAGCUCAUUAGUGUCGUGAUGCUAGCAAUCUGGACAUGCCAGAGGAAAGUGAUAAAGUGCUUCCGUCAAAGUGAAAAGGUGCAAGUUCUCGAUUUAAUAAGUAAUGAGAAAAAUCUUUACUGUGCCGAAGCUGCUAAGAUCUAUGGUCAUAAUAAGUAUGGAUUACCACUCUGGAGAAUUCAACUGAUGAAGAACAGGGGUUGGCAAUCUUCCCUUCGGUGUAUUUUUGGUAAAUUGCUGACUCUGAUGCAGAAGGAUUGAUGUUCUUCCAGAGAAUCAGAGCCCCGUCAGCCUGAAUCCCUGAGUACAGAUCACAUGGAGCAGAGACCCGACUGACUUGGGAUGGAUGUGUAGCAUAAAAGGAAACAAACAUUUGUUUUUCUAAGCCACUGGAGAUUGUUUUUUACUGGAGCAUAUUCAAAAGCAGAGACAUUACUUUGCCGACUAAGGUCCGUCUAGUCAAGGCUAUGGUUUUUCCUGUGGUCAUGUAUGGAUGUGAGAGUUGGAUUGUGAAGAAGACUGAGCACCGAAGAAUUGAUGCUUUUGAACUGUGGUGUUGGAGAAGACUCUUGAGAGUCCCUUGGACUGCAAGGAGAUCCAACCAGUCCAUUCUGAAGGAGAUCAGCCCUGGGAUUUCUUUGGAAGGAAUGAUGCUGAAGCUGAAACACCUGUACUUUGGCCACUGCAUGCAAAGAGUUGACUCAUUGGAAAAGACUCUGAUGCUGGGAGGGAUUGGGGGCAGGAGGAGAAGGGGAUGACCCAGGAUGAGAUGGCUGGAUGGCAUCACUGACUCGAUGGACGUGAGUCUGAGUGAAGUCCGGGAGUUGGUGAUGGACAGGGAGGCCUGGUGUGCUGCGAUUCAUGGGGUCGCAAAGAGUCGGACACGACUGAGCGACUGAACUGAACUGAACUGAAGGUAACCCAUGCUGACUGAUUCGAAGCAGGAGGUAACUUCUGGCAGUAUAGAUAACUAGAUACUCAGAAGCCCUUCCAAAUGCAAAAGAACUGGAUUUUUUGUUUGUUUCUUUGUUGUUCUUGUUGUUCUUUGCUGCAUGGCUUGCAGGAUCUGUUUGCCAACCAGAGACUGAACUCAGGCCACAGCAGUGAAAGUGCAGUGCUAAUUAUUGGGCCACCAGGGAAAUUCCUGGAUCACUUUUUAAAUGGACUGUUGGGCUUGUAAGUAGAAAAGUCAUUGUCCAGGGACAGCUCUUAUCCUCAAAUACGAGCUGAAACCAGAACUGGGAACCAAGAGUGCUAAGAAAAUAAGAAUACUGGGUUGUCCUAAGGGCCAGAACCAUUGUAGCACAGCAUGAACCCUAAAGCAUCAGAAGACGGGGAAGCCAAGAGUCUGACACUUCCUCCUUAGGCCAGGACUCUCCAAAAAGUGUGAAGUAUGUUCUCAGGUUGGCAUUUUCCUUCUGUUCCCAACAGAAUCAAAUACUCAGUAGGAAAGCCAAGAGUCACCAAGUAUGAGUUUGAAUCCAAGAUCACCAAGCACAGAAGGAGGCAGACCACCAAGAGUGAGUGAGUCACCGGAAAAACAAGCAUCCAGUUUAGACUCCAAGAAAUCUGGAUGUAUAUUUUCAUUUAUGAACGUAUUUAGGGCAAUUAUUAGGUGCUGGCUUCCCUGGUGGCUCAGACGGUAAAAGCGUCUGCCUACAAUGCGGGAGACCCAGGUUCAGUCCCUGGGUUGGGAAGAUCCCUGGAGAAGGAAAUGGCAACCCACUCCAGUAUUCUUGCCUGGAAAAUCCCAUAGACGGAGGAGCCUGAUAGGCUUACUGUCCAUGGGGCCACAAAGGGUCAGACAUGACUGAGCAACUUCACUUCACCUCUUCACUUAAGUGCUAGCUCUGUUGUAAAGUUUUUUUUUCCAAUUUUAACUUAUUUAAUUCCCAUAACAACACUAUGAAGCAAGUACUACUGUUAUGUAAUUUAUUCCAGGUCAACAUUUCUUAAGUGGUGUGUUUAUGCUAAGUUGCGACCCCAUAAGACUGCAGCCCACCCAUCUGUCCAUGGGAUUCUCUAGGCAAGAAUAUUGAAGUGGGUUGCCAUGCCCUGCUCCAGGUGAUCUUUCUGACCCAGGGAUCGAACUCUAGUCUCUUAUGUCUCCUGCACUGGCAGGCAGAUUCUUACCACUAGCACCACCUGGGUAGCUUUAGUGGUAGAGCUACAAUCUGGAUUCAGACAGUUGGUUCUAGAGUCUGCACUCUUCAUCACUACAUUCUGUUGACUAUCUAACAUAGAAUGUCUACAUUUGACAAAUUUAAAGAAAUAAGGACUGGAAAACCAAAGAUAAGAAAACAAAAAAAGAUGAUUUGGACAAAAAUCAAAUGGUUGAAAGUAAAACAUUUAAUGAACAUGUUAAAUAUCUGAAGAGAUAAUUAGUGGAUUCAAGAAAUAUUUGAAGAAAACAUUCAAAAUGUAGCACAGGAAGAAAGGAAAUGGAAAAUAAAAAGAGAAAUUUAAAGAUAUGGAAGAUAGAAUGAGAUGUUCUAAUAAUUUAAUAACCUAAUAAUUAAAAUUUUAAUUGCAGGUUUGAAAGAGAGUAGAGAGGAUGGAUAAUAUAAUAAUAUCUGAAGCAAAGAUAACUGAGAAUUUUUUAGAAUCAGUAGAAAGCCAUAGGCUUUAGGAAAUACACUACAUCCCUAGAAAGAGAAAUUAAAAAGGAAAUUUAUGUCUUAGAUGUGUUAUAGGGCAACUGGGGAACUCCAAAGACACUGAGAAAAUCUUAAAAGCAACUGCAGAGAAAAGGACUGUAAAGGACUAACAAUUAGACUGUCAGGCUUAUCAAGAGUUAUAGUGGACGAAGGGAGUCUGUGGAAUAAUUAUUCAAAGUGUUGAAGAGAAAUAACUAUCCAUUGCACAUCCAGAAAACCCACAUUUCAUAAAUGAGAGUAAAACAAAUUUAGUUUCAGAUAAACAAAAACUAGCAGACAUUUACUGAAGAAAUUCACAUCCAUCUUUCAAGAUUCAUCUCAAAUGCUGUUUCUUCCACGGAACACUCAACUUUGAAUCCCUGUAACAUUUUUAUUUGAUCCUUUCUUAUGACUGUUCCCAAAUUCAGACAUAGACUGAAAUUAUACAUGCCUUUUCAUAAUUCUCUCUUGCCCUUGCCACUUCACUUACCCUGCUCCACUCCCAGAAAUGCCCCAGGACCUCGUUGGUGUCUAACUCACCUUAACUUUUUGUAUCGUUUCUAUCAUGAUGCAUGUAGUCAGGGCGUGGUUAGUAUUUACUGAAAGCUACUGGUCAGUCUUCUCCCAUGUGUUUCAUGGACCAUCAAUUCCAAAAGAUCCUCAUUUCUAAAGGGGUUUUAUAGCCAAACCUCCAGAAUGCUGAAAUUCACAAUUUAAUUAAUUUAACCCCAAAUUUCCCCGAAGUUUCGCCCAUAGAGCAACUCCUUCCACUCUUGACUCCAAGACUAUCCCAGGAGACUGGUGUUUCUAGGAAUACAUUUAGCAAAAAUCUGCAGAAGGCAAUCACUUGUUUGACUGUCCAAGGCCUGGAGUCAACACCUUGGAUCGUGCUUCUACACAGUUAAUCGUUUAAUUAGUUCUAAGUCAUUUAUCCUCAGGUUCCUUAUUUAUGACACCAUUAGCAGGUUAUCCCCUCUAACUCUAAAAUUCUAUGAAUUAAAGGGCAUUGCCUUUUACAGUCAAUUGGUCAGUCAUUCUACACAUACUAAAUUCAUACUAAUGCCAGUAUGUAAAAGGCUGGGCACGCACUGGUGAACAAGGUUGGCAUAGUCACUGCUUUCAUGGAGUUACAUUGAGAAUGAUUUUAAGAGCUCACUAUUAGAACAUGAUUUUUGGAUUUCCAGAAUUAAAUGUCUUACAGUUAAAAGCUGGGAAUUUACUGCUUCAUAUAUUAUGUACAUCAGGCUGUGGAAUAAAUCUUUAGAAUCUGAACUUACGGCCUAACGAGGCUUAUGAUUCUGUUUCAUCUAAGAGCUCCAUUGUAAGCAUCAAAAACUGAACAGGAUCACUUAGAUGUAUCUAGUCUUCAAAUCUGCAUUUUUAACUGUCCUUGUAAAAGGCUUAAUCCUCUAUAGUUUAAAAAGCAAAUUCUAAAUGACAGAGCAUCAACUAAGCACUGUUGUGUAUAGGCACCAUUCUAGGCCCUUUACAUGUAUUAUCUCAUAUAAUCCUUACAAGAAACAAAAAAAACAAGUAUAAAUAUUAUUCCCAUUUUAUAGAGGUUAAAUAACCUGCCCAAAGUUACCAGCUGGUAGAACUAGGCUUUGACCUCAGGCAGUAUGGGUUGUCAGUCUGUGCUCUGAACCUCAACUCUAAACUCUUACUAUUCCUAGUCAUCAAAUACUGUUCAGUAGGUUUUCUGCUGAAAAUUUAAGGGUUAACAUUGCUUAAGAGCUGAACAAUCAUAUGGGAUUUUUAAACGUCUAACUCCAACCAGGCAGUGUACUGAGGAGGUAAUGAAAACUUAAUUUUUUUUUUUUUUGCUAAGCACUAAUCUUUGUGAUUAUAAGUGUAUCCAUGUGCCAGAGAAUAUUGAGAUAAUAAGUUAACAUAAAAUUGGUGGUACAGAUUUAAACCUGACAGCUCUGUGUGUCUCAUAUGUUUUCUGAAAGUAAUUUUAAGAUAAGACUCCACUCUCAAACUUAAAAUUCAUUCUUCAAAAAUUGCUAAUACCACACAGUAUUUAUGGUAUUGUAUCAAUUACAUAGAGAAAAACUAUAGUGCUAGGAAUAGAGGAUGGUUUUAAUUGUAAAACAGUAAAAUAACAAAAUAUAAUCAACGAAAUGUGAACCAAACAGUGUCAGUGAGAAUUCUUGGCAUUUAGUUUUAGAAGCCAUUUUGCAUGGAAAUGAGUAAAAUAUAAACACAGUGCUUUAUCUAGGAUAUGACAAGAAACUUCAAGAUUGUAAUGUGCAUUAAGAUAACAUUCCAAACCUAUCCUUUCAAGUUUUCAGCCAAGAAUUUGUUUUAUAAUUUCUUUGGCAAACAGCUAACCUCUACUUGAGAAUAUCAAUUUUCAUGCUUAUGGUCCCAAUCCCAUUGUGUGUAACUGUUAACUUGCUGUGUGACCUUGACUAAAUCACUCCCUGCCAACCCAACCCAAACCGGGGAAUGGGAUCUCUCAGGCCCCUUCUGGUUUUAAAAUUCUGUAGUUCUAGCCUAUGGAUCAUGACAUAAACACCAUAAAAAGUGCAUGCUCGAAGAUUGGAUUUUUUAAAAUUUGUUCUAUUUAAGCAUUUUUAAAUGAGCAGUCCUAUAGCCAGCUGUAAGAAGACUAUAAACUUGGGCAGCCAGGGCCUACGGGUGAUUUACUCAGGUCUGAUGCUGGUUGGCAGCAUCUGUGCUAUCUCAAGUCACCAAGCACCUUGUGUAGUUCACAGAAACAGUCCAUCCACAUGCUUCCUAGACUCCCCCAACACGAAUGGGGUCUGAGAGAUUCUGGGCAAAAGAACCGCCAUGGGCCAUGAGACGACCUUGGGCACCCUCCAAAGACGGAAGAGGUGUGGUCCUCCUGACCCCCUGCUCAGAUCCCCGCCCUGGAGACCGAAGUGCUUACGCCCCCAGCUGCUGCACGUGUUGGCUGCUGCUUGCCCCUUCAACUGAGACCCUCUCUGGAGAUAGCCCGUGGCUGAAGAGAGCUGCUCUGCCCAAACCCACACCCCUGUUCGGGGCAGCCUCAAGGACGGCAGAUUGCGCCAGCCAACCUCUUGCCCCACUGAGGUUUAACACUGGAGGGCCAGGCCUGUGCUGGAGCUCCUGUAGGGUGGCCUUGGCUGCGGCCACAGGUGCUGCAUCAUCGUGCUCCCUCGGCCAACAGAUGUCGCCCCCGAGCACGCCCCUUAUACUUCCGGUUACUAAGCCCUCUGUCUCAGAAUCGGCUCCAGAAAUCAGAACCUGCCACAGGGACUUAAAGACGUGAGUGUGAAUUGGAUGUGCUUUAAAAUCCCAUGGACGGAGGAGCCUGGUGGGCUGCAGUCCAUGGGGUUGCGAAGAAUCGGACACGACUGAGCGCUUUACUUUCACUUUUCACUUUCAUGCAUUGGAGAAGGAAAUGGCAACCCACUCCAGUGUUCUUGCCUGGAGAAUCCCAGGGACGGGGGAGCCUGGUGGGCUACCGUCUAUGGGGUCGCACAGAGUCAGACAUGACUGAAGCGACUUAGCAGCAGCAGCAGCAACUGUGGGUCCAGGAGUAAAUGUCUUUUCCAGUAAAACGGAAUAAUAACUACCUCAUAGAAUUGUUUAUUGUAUGAAUAUGAAGAAAUGAAUCCAAAGCACGGUAGUAAAUGACUAAUAGCAGCAAUUUAGCAUUUAUUAAAUGUGAGGUGCUGUUUUAUGUACUUUACUACAUAAGAACUCUAUGAGAAAGAUAAUAUCCCUAAUUUACAGAUUAGGCAACGGAGACAGAAGUUAAAUAAUUUCUCCAGUGUCACGUCUAAUAAAGUGAAGAAUUCAGACUCAGGCUACUGCAGAAACCACAUUCUUAUCUAAAAACUCUGCUGCUUCCUACUGAAAAAGGAAAAUUGUUUAAAUAUUUGAAUGAUGGUAAACAAAAGCCCAGUAAUACCACCUGAUUCAAGAUGUAACUUGAAAACAAAGCAAUAAUAAAAGAAAAAUUUUACAAAGAAUUUCUGUACUCCCAUUGUUUAUUAUUACUAUAUUGUUUAGUAUUAUAUUAUUAAUUGUAAUUAUUUAUUAUUGUGUUGUUUAUAUUUCUGUGUUGCUGUAGAUAAUUUAUUUUUGCUUCAGAUCAAUCAUUUUUCACCAAGAGAAUGCAUAAAACAGGGUCUUGGAACUAUCUGAUGUGACAAGGAAUGCUGUAUAAGAUAAUAUCUUUGUGCUAUCUGUUUCUAUUUUAAUGAAACAUGUACUGAGUUUCUAAUUUAAUGAAAUGUGCUAGGUGCAAAGUCAAAGAAUAAAUUAAACAACAAUAUGUUUCACUGUUAGAUCGUAAUUUUGUG